CUUUUGACUUUUAAGAAGUGAGCUGAUAUUCUUCGAUAUUUUGUGUGAGCAUCCAAGAAAGUAAAAAAAGGGGGAAAGAAAGAGUCAAGAUGGUAUUUUUCUCAGGCAUUUUGUUGUGGCUGCUGUUUGGUUGGAAAGAAAAUUUGGGGACUUUGUGAGAUCGAAUUAUCAUUCUUCGAAGAAUAUGGAUUCGUUUCAGAACUCGGUUUUUUAUUUGGAUAAAAGUUUAAUGGGGUGUAAUAUGCCCGAAUUGGUAGUUUGUUAUAAAGAGAAUAGAUAUCAUGUUAUCAAAGAUAUCUGUAUCGAUGGAGGAGUUUUGACAAAGGACAAGUUCUUGUUCGACAGUGGCACAGAUGAGAAGUUUCUGCCUUCUGAAAAGGAUCUAGAUGCUACACUAAUGAAAGAGAACCCGGAAAUGGAUAUGUCCAUAAACGAUGUAUCUAGGCUUCCAGAAGAAAAUCAACCUGACAAGGAUAUUGACAAUGAAUGGGGUUCGAAGAAAAAACUCGAUGCUGAUACAUGUAUACAAGAUGUUUCCUUACUAGAAGAAAAUAAGGACUCCAACGAGGGGCUUCCGAAUCAAUGUGAUUCUAGGGAUUUGAUUUUGUCAAGGGAAAUGAAGCAUGAUGUGAUGAUGCAAGUGAUUACGGAUGAUGUCUCCAAAAAGUUGUAUGCCCUUGGACUCGGAGAGUUAACUUUGAUGUCGGAAAUGAGCUCAGUGAAAACCCAAUCUGUGUGUUCUGACUGCAAAAGUGAUGGAACCGAACAACAGUCUUCUCGGAACUCGAGCGAAAAGGAAGUCACGGGGACACACCCUUUGGUUUCUGCAGUUGAAGAAUCAAACAAUAGCAGCGAAGAGGCGAUUCUAUCAGCUUCUGCUUUGGUUUCUGCUGCUGAAGAAUCUGACCCUGAGAAAGGGGAAGCUACUUUGAUCAGUUCUGUCCCGGCCUCCGUUUCCGAGGAAUCAAGCAGCAGAUGCCUUGUUAACGAGGUAUCUAAUGAUAGCAGACUGGUGGGUGGACGGAUCACAUGUCACUUCGACUCUUCUGCUCCAACAAGCAGCAAAGACGAGUGUCACCACUAUCCUGAUAGUGAAUCGAAGGCUGAAGAUAGAGUUGAUCAACCUUUUUCGAACAAUCUUCAAAGGGAAAAUGCAGAGUCUAGUUUCUCUAUUGCAGGGCCAGUAACCGGUCUUAUAACUUACUCUGGGCCAAUAGCAUAUUCAGGCAAUCUCUCCCUCAGAUCAGAUAGCAGCACAGCAAGCACUCGUUCUUUCGCCUUCCCUAUAUUGCAGCCUGAAUGGGAUGCAAGUCCGGUAAGAAUGGCUAAAGCCGACAGGAGACAUUACCGGAAGCAUCGGGGCUGGAGGCAGGGCAUCCUGUGCUGUAGAUUCUGAAAAGUUGUAUUCAAUCCAUAGGGUAUACAAAUCUAUUAUUCUUAACAAGUUACAUACAUCAAUAUCAUCCUAUUUUCUCUCAUAUGGUGUCGGAGUUUCGGUCUCGUUCACGUAACUUGAGCUGUAAGCAAUUCCGUAGAUUUUUUUCAUAUAUUUGUAGCGUUUAUUUUUGGGUUUUCACUUUCUUUGUUAAUAAUGCCAUGUUAAGUUGUAUCA